GCAACAAGGAGAGGCUACAUGCAAACACAAGGAGUUUCUAGAAUCUGAAGAAGUUCCUGAAUCAAUUUCUGUUGACAAGAAACAUCAGAGUAUUGCUCAGAUAAUCUAUGCUGGAUACAGAGAAAAGGCUGCUGUCAAGCACACAGUAUGUGGUCCAAGAUAGCUCCUAAACUUUAUCUGAGCUCAGUGGAUUGUGUAGAGUACUGUUAUAGAUGGAAGAAGAGUGAAAACUACAGAAAUAGAUGUUGUAAAAGAAGCAGCAGAAAGCAGAGCCCCAUGCUGUAUUACCUAAGGAAGAGGCCUGGAACCAAUAACUGCAUCAUCUGACCUUGCAACACAGGUAGCAGAAACAACAGAAGCUGCUGAUGAUACUGU